rnacentral:snRNA from 1 species
AUGCUUGUUUUGGCAGCACACUUACUAAAAUAGGUGUGAAACAGACAAGAUUAGCAUGGCCCUUGUGCAAGGAUGGCAUGCAAAUCUGUGGUGCUCUUAAAGAAAUA